UCGAGGAUCUUCGGCAAUGGGCGCAAGCCUGACCGAGCGACGCCGCGUGCGGGAUGAAGGCCUUCGGGUUGUAAACCGCUGUCAGUGGGGAGGAAAUGUACGUGGGUUCUCCCACGUAUUUGACCUAUCCGCAGAGGAAGUGUGGGCUAAGUUCGUGCCAGCAGCCGCGGUAAGACGAACCACACAAACGUUAUUCGGAAUUACUGGGCUUAAAGGGUGCGUAGGCUGCGCAGAAAGUUGGGUGUGAAAUCCCUCGGCUCAACCGAGGAACUGCGCCCAAUACUGCUGUGCUCGAGGGAGACAGAGGUGAGCGGAACUUAGGGUGGAGCGGUGAAAUGCGUUGAUAUCCUAAGGAACACCCGUGGCGAAAGCGGCUCACUGGGUCUCUUCUGACGCUGAGGCACGAAAGCUAGGGUAGCGAACGGGAUUAGAUACCCCCGUAGUCC
rnacentral:rRNA from 1 species